AGAGUUUGAUCCUGGCUCAGGACGAACGCUGGCGGCGUGCCUAACACAUGCAAGUCGAACGGAGAAUUUUAUUUCGGUAGAAUUCUUAGUGGCGAACGGGUGAGUAACGCGUAGGCAACCUGCCCUUUAGACGGGGACAACAUUCCGAAAGGAGUGCUAAUACCGGAUGUGAUCAUCGUGCCGCAUGGCAGGAUGAAGAAAGAUGGCCUCUACAAGUAAGCUAUCGCUAAAGGAUGGGCCUGCGUCUGAUUAGCUAGUUGGUAGUGUAACGGACUACCAAGGCGAUGAUCAGUAGCCGGUCUGAGAGGAUGAACGGCCACAUUGGGACUGAGACACGGCCCAAACUCCUACGGGAGGCAGCAGUGGGGAAUCUUCCGCAAUGGACGAAAGUCUGACGGAGCAACGCCGCGUGAGUGAUGAAGGAUUUCGGUCUGUAAAGCUCUGUUGUUUAUGACGAACGUGCAGUGUGUGAACAAUGCAUUGCAAUGACGGUAGUAAACGAGGAAGCCACGGCUAACUACGUGCCAGCAGCCGCGGUAAUACGUAGGUGGCGAGCGUUGUCCGGAAUUAUUGGGCGUAAAGAGCAUGUAGGCGGCUUAAUAAGUCGAGCGUGAAAAUGCGGGGCUCAACCCCGUAUGGCGCUGGAAACUGUUAGGCUUGAGUGCAGGAGAGGAAAGGGGAAUUCCCAGUGUAGCGGUGAAAUGCGUAGAUAUUGGGAGGAACACCAGUGGCGAAGGCGGCUUACUGGACGAUGACUGACGUUGAGGCUCGAAAGCGUGGGGAGCAAACAGGAUUAGAUACCCUGGUAGUCCACGCC
rnacentral:rRNA from 1 species